GACGAACGCUGGCGGCGUGCUUAACACAUGCAAGUCGAGCGGUAAGGCACCUUCGGGUGUACACGAGCGGCGAACGGGUGAGUAACACGUGAGUAAUCUGCCCUUCACUUCGGGAUAACCACCGGAAACGGUGGCUAAUACCGGAUACGACGCGCUUUCGCAUGAGAUGCGCGUGGAAAGUCUUAUCGGUGGAGGAUGUGCUCGCGGCCUAUCAGCUUGUUGGUGAGGUAACGGCUCACCAAGGCUUCGACGGGUAGCCGGCCUGAGAGGUUGACCGGCCACACUGGGACUGAGACACGGCCCAGACUCCUACGGGAGGCAGCAGUGGGGAAUAUUGGACAAUGGGCGAAAGCCUGAUCCAGCAACGCCGCGUGAGGGAUGACGGCCUUCGGGUUGUAAACCUCUUUCAGUACCGACGAAGCGCCAAUAACGGUGGUGACGGUAGGUACAGAAGAAGGACCGGCCAACUACGUGCCAGCAGCCGCGGUAACAC
rnacentral:rRNA from 1 species